CCCAGUUUAGAUAGAUCUAUAUUAUAACAAAUCAAAUUUCACCUCUUUGAAGAGUUACAUAGUGAUAAUUUUUAUUUUCGAGUCUCCAGCAUCUACAUGUAGCAAAAAGUCAAAAGAGUCUCAAGACACCAAAGAUCUUACCCUGCUGAAAUCAUUUGAUCUUACAUUAGAGUAUGGACCCUGUAUAGGCAUAACAAGAAUGGAGAGAUGGAAAAG